rnacentral:rRNA from 1 species
UACGUAGGGGGCUAGCGUUGUCCGGAAUCAUUGGGCGUAAAGCGCGUGUAGGCGGUCCGGUAAGUCCGCUGUGAAAGUCGGGGGUCAACCCUGGAUGCCGGUGGAUACUGUCGGGCUCGAGCCGGAAGAGGAGUGUGGAAUUCCUGGUGUAGCGGUGAAAUGCGCAGAUAUCAGGAGGAACACCAAUGGCGAAGGCAGCACUCUGG